CUACGUGCCAGCAGCCGCGGUAAUACGGAGGGUGCAAGCGUUAAUCGGAAUUACUGGGCGUAAAGCGCACGCAGGCGGUCUGUCAAGUCGGAUGUGAAAUCCCCGGGCUCAACCUGGGAACUGCAUUCGAAACUGGCAGGCUAGAGUCUUGUAGAGGGGGGUAGAAUUCCAGGUGUAGCGGUGAAAUGCGUAGAGAUCUGGAGGAAUACCGGUGGCGAAGGCGGCCCCCUGGACAAAGACUGACGCUCAGGUGCGAAAGCGUGGGGAGCAAACAGGACUAGAUACCCUGGUAGUCCACGCCGUAAACGAUGUCGACUUGGAGGUUGUGCCCUUGAGGCGUGGCUUCCGGAGCUAACGCGUUAAGUCGACCGCCUGGGGAGUACGGCCGCAAGGUUAAAACUCAAAUGAAUUGACGGGGGCCCGCACAAGCGGUGGAGCAUGUGGUUUAAUUCGAUGCAACGCGAAGAACCUUACCUACUCUUGACAUCCAGA
rnacentral:rRNA from 1 species